GGAUUAGGCAUGCAAGUCGAACGCACACAGCAAUGUGUGAGUGGCGGAAGGGUGAGGAACGCGUGAGUAACCUGCCCUCAAGUUGGGAAUAACAGUUGGAAACGAUUGCUAAUACCGAAUGUGGCUUUAUUAAGGCAUCUUGAUAAGGCUAAAGAUUUAUCGCUUGAGGAUGGGCUCGCGUCCCAUUAGCUAGUUGGUGAGGUAAUGGCUCACCAAGGCGACGAUGGGUAGCUGGUCUGAGAGGAUGGUCAGCCACACUGGAACUGAGACACUGUCCAGACUCCUACGGGAGGCUGCAGUCGAGAAUCUUGGGCAAUGCGCGAAAGCGUGACCCAGCAAUGCCGCGUGCGGGAUGAAGGUCUUCGGAUUGUAAACCGCUGUCACUCGGGACGAAACAAAUGACGGUACCGAGGGAGGAAGCCACGGCUAACUACGUGCCAGCAGCCGCGGUAAUA
rnacentral:rRNA from 1 species